AUACUAACCUGGCGCAGGGGAUACCAUGAUCAACGAGGUGGUUCCCCCUGGCGAGAGGCAACGAGCCGAACGCCUGCGAAUACUCCUGAGGGUAUUUGUGCGUUUAAUUUUUGAAAGUGUGGGGCUCGCGCGGGCACAGUCCCCAC